UAUCGCGACGAGUUUGACUCCGUGGCUCAGGACGACGCUGGCGGCGUGCCUAACACAUGCAAGUCGAACGGGGUGGAACCCUUCGGGGAACCACUUAGUGGCGAACGGGUGAGUAACGCGUGAGGAACCUGCCUUUCAGUGGGGGACAACAGUUGGAAACGACUGCUAAUACCGCACAACAUAUUCGGACCGCAUGAUCUGAAUAUCAAAGCUUUAUGUGCUGAAAGAUGGCCUCGCGUCUGAUUAGCUAGUUGGUGGGGGUAACGGCCCACCAAGGCGACGAUCAGUAGCCGGUCUGAGAGGAUGAACGGCCACAUUGGGACUGAGAUACGGCCCAGACUCCUACGGGAGGCAGCAGUGGGGAAUAUUGGGCAAUGGGGGAAACCCUGACCCAGCAACGCCGCGUGAAGGAAGAAGGCCUUCGGGUUGUAAACUUCUUUUACCAGGGACGAAGACGUGACGGUACCUGGAGAAAAAGCAACGGCUAACUACGUG
rnacentral:rRNA from 1 species